CGGUCCACAGGUCGCCGUGGAUGCGGGCGGGCGGCUCGUCGCCGCCGACCCGGUCGAGACCGGCCAGGACCCGUUCGACGCGGGCUGUGUCGGCC
rnacentral:tRNA from 1 species